rnacentral:misc_RNA from 1 species
GAUGAAGAACGCAGCGAAAUGCGAUAAGUAAUGUGAAUUGCAGAAUUCAGUGAAUCAUCGAAUCUUUGAACGCACCUUGCGCUCCUUGGUAUUCCGAGGAGCAUGCCUGUUUGAGUGUCAUGAAAUUCUCAACCUUUUCAGCUUUCUUUGUUGAUCAGGCUUGGAUGUGGGAGUAUGCGGGCUUCUCAGAAGUCGGCUCUCCUGAAAUGCAUUAGCGGGACCUUUGUUGCCUGGCUUUGGUGUGAUAAUCAUCUACGCCAUUGUGGUCAAGCAGCUUAAAAUGAGGUUUCAGCUUCUAACCGUCUCCCCUGAGACAACUUUUUGACAAUUUGACCUCAAAUCAGGUAGGACUACCCGCUGAACUUAAGCAUAUCAAUAAGCGGAGGA